UACGGGGGGGGCAAGCGUUGUUCGGAAUUACUGGGCGUAAAGGGCUCGUAGGUGGCCAACUAAGUCAGACGUGAAAUCCCUCGGCUUAACCGGGGAACUGCGUCUGAUACUGGAUGGCUUGAGUCCGGAAGAGGCGAGUGGAAUUCCCGGUGUAGCGGUGAAAUGCGCAGAUAUCGGGAGGAACACCAAUGGCGAAGGCAGCUCGCUGGGACGUGACUGACGCUGAGACGCGAAAGCGUGGGGAGCAAACAGG
rnacentral:rRNA from 1 species